rnacentral:rRNA from 1 species
CCGGGAGGCAGCAGUGAGGAAUAUUGGUCAAUGGGCGGGAGCCUGAACCAGCCAAGUCGCGUGAGGGAAGAUGGUCCUAUGGAUUGUAAACCUCUUUAGGCGGGGAGCAAUGCCGGGCACGCGUGCCCGGAGGGAGAGUACCCGCAGAAUAAGCAUCGGCUAACUCCGUGCCAGCAGCCGCGGUAAUACGGAGGAUGCGAGCGUUAUCCGGAUUUAUUGGGGUUAAAGGGUGCGUAGGCGGAUUUUUAAGUCAGCGGUAAAAUGUCCGGGCUCAACCCGGGCCGGCCGUUGAAACUGGGGAUCUUGAGUGGGCGAGAAGUAUGCGGAAUGCGUGGGGUAGCGGUGAAAUGCAUAGAUAUCACGCAGAACUCCGAUUGCGAAGGCAGCAUACCGGCGCCCGACUGACGCUGAGGCACGAAAGCGUGGGGAUCGAACAGGAUUAGAUACCCGAGUAGUC